rnacentral:rRNA from 1 species
GAUGAACGCUGGCGGCGUGCCUAAUACAUGCAAGUCAAGCGAACAGAUGAGGAGCUUGCUCCUCUGUCGUUAGCGGCGGACGGGUGAGUAACACGUGGAUAACCCACCUAUAAGACUGGGAUAACUUCGGGAAACCGGCGCUAAUACCGUAUAAUAUAUUGAACCGCAUGGUUCAAUAGUGAAAGACGGUUUUGCUGUCACUUAUAGAUGGAUCCGCGCCGCAUUAGCUAGUUGGUAGGUUAACGGCUUACCAGGGCGACCAUGCGUAGCCGACCGGAGGGAGGGGUAGGCGGCACGGGAGCUGGAACAGCGACCAGAGUCCUGAGAGAGGCAGCAGAAGGGAAUCGUACGCAAUGGGCGAGAGCCUGACGGAGCGACGCGGCGUGAGUGAUGAAAGUCUUCGGUGCGUAAUACUCGCUUAUGAGGGGAGAACAAAUGUGUAAGUAGCUAUGGCCGUCUUGACGGUACCUAGUAAGAAAGCAACGGCUAACUACGUG